rnacentral:lncRNA from 1 species
GGAAAAAAGAGAGUCCAAUUCAUUAUGUUUGACUGGCACCUAGGAAAAUGAAGCUUUAACUGAGAAUUCUGCUUUGCAAGGAGCUGUGCCAAGUGACAUGCUUAGUGAACU